CGUGUAGGCGGAUGGGAACGUCGGAAUCUGAAAGCCCCUGGCUCAACCGGGGAAGUGGAGCCGAAACGACCUGUCUGGAGGGACGUAGGGGGACCUGGAACUUCCGGUGGAGCGGUGAAAUGCGUUGAGAUCGGAAGGAACGCCCGUGGCGAAAGCGAGGUCCUGGACGUCUUCUGACGCUGAGACGCGAAAGCUAGGGGAGCAAACG
rnacentral:rRNA from 1 species